rnacentral:rRNA from 1 species
UAGGGAAUAUUGGUCAAUGGGCGAGAGCCUGAACCAGCCAUGCCGCGUGCAGGAAGACGGCCUUCUGGGUUGUAAACUGCUUUUAUAUGGGAAGAAAAAGGUCUUGCGAGACAAAUUGCCGGUACCAUAUGAAUAAGCACCGGCUAACUCCGUGCCAGCAGCCGCGGUAAUACGGAGGGUGCAAGCGUUGUCCGGAUUUAUUGGGUUUAAAGGGUGCGUAGGCGGGCCUUUAAGUCAGUGGUGAAAGCCUGCAGCUUAACUGUAGAAUUGCCAUUGAUACUGGAGGCCUUGAGUACAUAUAAGGUAGGCGGAAUUGAUGAUGUAGCGGUGAAAUGCAUAGAUAUCAUCAG